GAGAUGUUGGGUUAAGUCCCGCAACGAGCGCAACCCUUGACCUUAGUUGCCAGCAUUCAGUUGGGCACUCUAGGGUGACUGCCGGUGACAAACCGGAGGAAGGUGGGGAUGACGUCAAAUCAUCAUGCCCCUUAUGACCUGGGCUACACACGUGCUACAAUGGACGGUACAAAGAGCAGCAAGACCGCGAGGUGGAGCCAAUCUCAGAAAACCGUUCUCAGUUCGGAUUGCAGGCUGCAACUCGCCUGCAUGAAGCUGGAAUCGCUAGUAAUCGCGGAUCAGCAUGCCGCGGUGAAUACGUUCCCGGGCCUUGUACACACCGCCCGUCACACCACGAGAGUUUGCAACACCCGAAGUCGGUGGGGUAACCCUUACGGGAGCCAGCCGCCUAAGGUGGGGCAGAUGAUUGGGGUGAAGUCGUAACAAGGUAGCCGUAUCGGAAGGUGCGGCUGGAUCACCUCCUUU
rnacentral:rRNA from 1 species